GCAAUCUGAAACUGGCGCGUGAAGUGCCGGUGGUGUUUCGCUCGCUGCUGGGCAUUUCCUGGAUGUGGUUUUUUGGCGCGGUGUACUUGAGCAAUUUCCCCGCCUUCGCCAAAGAGGUGCUG
rnacentral:ncRNA from 1 species